rnacentral:lncRNA from 1 species
UUUCAUAAGGGUCUAACUAAGCUUGAAUAUUCUAACCACUCAUAACAAUUGAAACGAAACAAGAAUCAAUUCUAAUCAGCAUAAAUUACAAACUGAGUCUUGGAGAAGAAAAUUCCUCCAAUCGUCGAGCUUCCCUUCUUCCGAUUAGCUGAAAUUCUGGGCUGCUACUUCAAUUGCUUGUUCGGCUUUUGCUGAUUCAAUUUGAGGUUUUCCUUUGCUCAAGUGCCAUGCCUCUCUACUGCUGUAUUUUUUC